AACGCACAUUGCGCCCCCUGGCAUUCCGGGGGGCAUGCCUGUCCGAGCGUCAUUUCUGCCCUCAAGCGCGGCUUGUGUGUUGGGUGUGGUCCCCCCGGUCUUGGGGGGACCUGCCCGAAAGGCAGCGGCGACGUCCCGCCUAGGUCCUCGAGCGUAUGGGGCUUUGUCACCCGCUCGGGAGGGGCCUGCGGGCGUUGGUCACCCACCAUAUCUUUUUUUACGGUUGACCUCGGAUCAGGUAGGAGUUACCCGCUGAACUUAA
rnacentral:misc_RNA from 1 species